rnacentral:misc_RNA from 1 species
GAUGAAGAACGCAAGCGAAAUGCGAUACGUAAUGUGAAUUGCAAAUUCAGUGAAUCAUCGAGUCUUUGAACGCACAUUGCGCCCCCUGGUAUUCCGGGGGGCAUGCCUGUCCGAGCGUCAUUGCUGCCCUCAAGCACGGCUUGUGUGUUGGGCCCCGUCCUCCGAUCCCGGGGGACGGGCCCGAAAGGCAGCGGCGGCACCGCGUCCGGUCCUCGAGCGUAUGGGGCUUUGUCACCCGCUCUGUAGGCCCGGCCGGCGCUUGCCGAUCAACCCAAAUUUUUAUCCAGGUUGACCUCGGAUCAGGUAGGGAUACCCGCUGAACUUAAGCAUAUCAAUAAGCGGAGGA